UACUGCCACAAUGAGGCCAACCAAAGUCCAAGAAAUUAACACCGGUUUUACCUCACUCACAGGACAUGGACAUAAAAUACAAGCUUUAAGGAAAACCCAUGGCGUCUGGCGUCCAUGAAGGGAGACUACAGGAGAUUAGAUUAACAUGCUAUCACAGUACAAACGUAAUAGAGUGUGUCCAUCCAAAACUCUGACUGACUGCAGAAAACCCCAGAGGACACUGCAUACUUUCACCCUGCCCUAACAUGUGCGCACACACACACACACACACACACACACACACACACACACACACACACACACACACACACACACACACACACACACACACACACACACACACACACACACACACACACACACACACACACACACACACACAUACACAAUUACACAUAACCCCUCUCAGCUGCUUGUACAAUCACCACACCCGUCUGACAUGACAUCAGCCUGUGAUGUCAUCAUGGGACCAAUGCUGGCAUGAUGUCCAGUGCAACUUCAUCAUCAGCAUCAUCAUCCCUUGGCAGUGGUGGAUGAGCCUGGGAUGGGAGGCAGCUGGAUUGUAACAAUUCCUUCACCCUUUGCACAUGUCACUCUGUGUAUGUGUGUGUGUGUGUGUGUGUGUGUGUGUGUGUGUGUGUGUGUGUGUGUGUGUGUGUGUGUGUGUGUGUGUGUGUGUGUGUGUGUGUGUGUGUGUGUGUGUGUGUGUGUGUGUGUGUGUGUGUGUGUAUGCAAAGGGAGCAAAGGGGAGGCUAAAAGACGCAAUUGCUCUAAUUCAAACAAUCUGAGCCAGAUGCAGCUUGGCUUUCUUUGGCCACUUCAUCUUGUUUAUAAUGUACUCUCUGGACAGAGUCACAUCGUGUUUGUCAAUAUUUCAACCAAAAGGUAAAUAUUAGAGUGACAGUGCUUAUUAAAGAGGAAAAGGAGAGGAGGAAUGUGAUGGAGGGGGGAGACAGAAAUAAGCGGAGAGGGGAGAAAAGAUUCAAAACUCAAGGGAAGAGAGUCAAGAGUCAGAGGAAGGGAACAAGAUGGUAUGAUGGGACUGGACAGGACAGGAUGGGGUGGGAUGACAGGCAAAGGCGAGGCAUGACAGGAUGGGAUGGGACUGGACAGGGAAUUGUAAGGUGGGGCUGCACAAGGUGGGGCAGGACAGGAAAAGUGGUACAAAAAUAUGAUGACAGGGCAGAAAGCAGAUUGGAUAGGUGCAUUUUGGAAGAGAAUGGUUAGUGGAAAGGAAAAAUACAGGGAAAUAAUAUGAGGACAAAAAGAUGAAAUUAUAAAAUGAGUCAAUUUGGGGAUGUUUGCCUUCAACUUUUUCUAUGAUAAAUGUUAUUUUCACAAUGGAGAGCAGUGCAUUAUCACAAUUACGAAGAUGGCAUUGCCAAGAAGAGGCAACAUAGCAAAAAAAGUUUGUCUAUUUCUCAGUACUUUUAUACUUCACCACCCUGUACGUGGCACACUGGCCCAAACUCAUUGGUGAAGAUGUAAAUCUUUAAAAAUGGGUCUUGAAUAUAUACUUUCAUACUUUAAAAAAAAAAGGUUAAAUAAUCUAAAACAGCUUGGCACUGUAGUUUCCUGAAAACUUUACUCAAACCACAGUAAAUAGUGGGUUUGUUGGGGACUUUUAGCUGUGGACUUGAUGUGCUGGUGAGGUUUUAACAUUCAGUAAAUCACUCUGAUGAAAGCCCAGCACUGAAACGCGUUGGUAAAAUAAAGAAGAUUCUUCCACGAGUCAGUUGCCAAGUUCUUGUUUUUUUUCUUACACUAGUGAGUUUUUUAAGACAACAGGACAGUGUGUGAGGAAUUAACUCAAAAUAAACCACAGCACAGUGCCUGAGAGCGUUUUAAUAAAGACACAUGUCACCCAGUGCAAUGCUGUGACUUAUUGAUGUAGUUUUUGAACAACAAUGAAGCUCUAUGGUACAGAGGUAUACGUUAUUUAAGGUUUUAUUAUACUUUUUUCAUGGGAUUUGUUGACAUCAAGUAAAAUUAUACUGUAGAAUAUCACCAAACUGAUCCUUUAGAGAGAAUUUCAUCAGGCUCCAUGCAGUAUGUGGGUUUAAAUGUGAAUUUUGCUAUGAGCAUUAUGCUAUAGAUGGAAUUUAUUGAUGUGUUUAAAUGGUUUUAGCUGCUGCACUUUAUGUCUUCUUAUCCAAUGUAUUUACGAUAUUUACUUCCCUUUUAUUGCCUCUGAUAUGUACUGAUAUGGUUAUAUUGAUUUCCUGAUUGCUUCCUGUAUGAAUUUAUGUGUUCAUUUUUGUGUUUAUGUUGUUUUUCUAGCUUUGUCAUUAAAUAUUUGCAUUGGACCUACAGUAAGUAUACAAGGUCUUUUUUUCCCAUGUUGGAUCUUCCACCACCUAAGUUUUUUAUUGUGAAAGCAGUGCAUAUAUAAAAUCAUGUAGCUGUCAUUCACUAACGAGGAUUUGGACCAGUUGUACUAGUUCAGUCAUUCACUGCGUAUUCCAUAAAGAUAAGACUGAUGAACUCUGCAUGUGUCAGAAAAUGUCAACCCAAUGCUGCCUUGAUGACAGCUAACUAUGAUUGUGUUUCGCUACGAGUGUUUUUCCCUGCAAAUCGUUCUGGCUCAUCCAAACCAACUGUUUAUGAAACCUUAUCAUGAGAAGCUGCAGCACUCCGGCGCCUCUGCAGUGAGCGCAUCCUGGAAACUACCACAGUGUUACAACACACCUGGAGCCCAUCCCAGAGACAGACAGAUAGACAGACAGAGACGGAUGGAUGAACCCACAAACUCAUUGCCUGUGACAGCAUCCCAGCUCUCAUGGCAGCCCCUUCCAUUUUUUACCAAUUUAUUUAUUUAUUUUUUUGUCUUCAUUCAGAGCAGCCCGUGCAAAUUUGGGAGACGCUCUCUCUAUCUCACUGGCUGUCAGGCAUUAUCGUGCUGCCAUUCUGUAUAGAUCACCUCCAGAUGUUGUCAUGUAUAGUUCACAUUCAGUAAAGUAAAUUCAUCUAGGCACGUAAAAUGAGAAAUAAACUGCCUUUUACUGUA